GUAUAUUUGCGAAUUAACGCCAUGACAUUCUAAGACAUGCUUUUGGGGUAUAUGGUAUAUUUGCAAGAGGCCUUUCGACCUCCCGCUUGGUUCACAGUGGGGUGUGGUAGUGAAGGUUCCAACCUUUCGAACGAGCACUUGCCGUCGCCGGCCAGCUACAAUCCUACUGGGACAGAACUUGACUUCGCUAAUGAUCCUUCCGCAGGUUCACCUACGGAAA
rnacentral:misc_RNA from 1 species